UCGAACGCACCCUUUCUUUUUGGCGCGGUACUCUUGAACCUCACCUGUUGCAGGAUGUUUCACUCACCUGUCGCAGGAUAUUACACUCACCUGUGGAAUGUUUUCCUGUCGCUACUUUCCAUCUCGCCUCAAUCAGAAAGCAACAACAACCUCCAUGAUGGACAGAUCUGAAUACCACGUUAACGGACACUCUGCAACGCCAACGGACACUCUGCGAAGCCAUUUUAGUUGCCCUUUACUAUAGUUAGCUACACUGUUAGCUAGCUUCGUCUGCAAAGGCGAACUUUCCCUGCUGCUAACUUGGAUUUGGAACGUCUCCUCAAGAUGAGGACCACUGCUUCACUUCACCCAGACUUCCUGCAGGGAGCCAGAUGACCCAUGCACAUAUCAGCUACUGUUGGCCACCGACAAUUUGUUCCACUUAAGAUAAAUUGUUUACUUCUUUGUUUUUUGCUUUUACAAAACAUCAGACAAAAGACUGAAUACUCCAUUGAUGGAUAGAACUUCUCUGUGAUACUAGUUGUGGAUUAAGCUCGUGUUUUUGCCUUUCUAUCAUCAGCUUGAUGACCUGGAAGAUUCUUCCUGAAGACUUGAAGUUCAUCUGUUGCAGCUGAAUCAGAGCUGAAGUGGACAGAACAACUUGUACUAUAUUCAUGGUACUCGGAUGAUGAAUCCCUUGACUGUUACUGUUGUGCCAACACAUGGUUGGUGUCUGUGGUGUUGAGGAAAAAUUCUCAAUCACUAUUGGAUUGAAGUGCAGUAACAUUUGUGACCCCUUGGCUUCUUCAGCACCAUCAUCAGGGCUCUUCACCAGACCAGAUCCCUGGGGUCUUCUGAAGCUUAAGAGAAUAUUUGAUUUACAGAACGGUGACAGAUUUUAUGAGUUUUUCCCUGGCUUGUGAGUGGAACCUCUUCAACACAUACUUGAACUACAUCUCAGACAUGCAUAUAUUUCCUGUUUUGCAUUAUAGGAUCCUGAAGUACAGACACUUGUUGUCUUUGUGUCUUGAGGGUUCAUUUACCUGACUCAAACAACCUGCAAUGAAAAGUGAC
rnacentral:lncRNA from 1 species